rnacentral:rRNA from 1 species
AGAAUCAACGCUGGCGGCGUGCCUCAGACAUGCAAGUCGAACGCGAAAGUCCCCUUCGGGGGACAAGUAGAGUGGCGCACGGGUGAGUAACACGUAGGUAAUCUACCUUCGGAUGGGGAAUAACAACCGGAAACGGUUGCUAAUACCGCAUAAUGCAGCGGCACCUAAUGGUGACAGUUGUUAAAGCGGGGGAUCGAAAGACCUCGCGUCUGAAGAGGAGCCUGCGGCGGAUUAGCUAGUUGGUAGGGUAACGCUACCAAGGCGACGAUCCGUA